GAUGAACGCUGGCGGCGUGCCUAAUACAUGCAAGUCGAGCGAACAGACGAGGAGCUUGCUCCUCUGACGUUAGCGGCGGACGGGUGAGUAACACGUGGAUAACCUACCUAUAAGACUGGGAUAACUUCGGGAAACCGGAGCUAAUACCGGAUAAUAUAUUGAACCGCAUGGUUCAAUAGUGAAAGACGGUUUUGCUGUCACUUAUAGAUGGAUCCGCGCCGCAUUAGCUAGUUGGUAAGGUAACGGCUUACCAAGGCAACGAUGCGUGGCCGACGUGAGAGAUGAAACGCCAACCGAGGGCUUGGGCACGGUUCAGACUCCUACGGGAGGCAGCAGUAGGGAAUCUUCCGCAAUGGGCGAAAGCCUGACGGAGCAACGCCGCGUGAGUGAUGAAGGUCUUCGGAUCGUAAAACUCUGUUAUUAGGGAAGAACAAAUGUGUAAGUAACUAUGCACGUCUUGACGGUACCUAAUCAGGAAGCCACGGCUAACUACGUG
rnacentral:rRNA from 1 species